GACGAACGCUGGCGGCGUGCUUAACACAUGCAAGUCGAGCGGUAAGGCCCUUUCGGGGGUACACGAGCGGCGAACGGGUGAGUAACACGUGGGUGACCUGCCCUUAGCUCUGGGAUAAGCCUGGGAAACUGGGUCUAAUACCGGAUAUGACUCCAUAACGCAUGUUGUGGGGUGGAAAGCCUUGUGCGGCUAGGGAUGGGCCCGCGGCCUAUCAGCUUGUUGGUGGGGUGAUGGCCACCAAGGCGACGACGGGUAGCCGGCCUGAGAGGGCGACCGGCCACACUGGGACUGAGACACGGCCCAGACUCCUACGGGAGGCAGCAGUGGGAAUCUUGCGCAAUGGGCGAAAGCCUGACGCAGCGACGCCGCGU
rnacentral:rRNA from 1 species